GGGGCGGGCACAAGAAAUUCACGUGAUUAAUGGCGGACCGCGGUUUAGCACGACUGAGCGAAAAAGGCCGCGACCGGAACCGGAAGCUUAGAGGAACGGCUUCAAGAACGGUGUAGGCAGCUGAGUCGUGGCCGUAAGGGGUUCUCGAGUUCCCCCCUCC